rnacentral:rRNA from 1 species
UACGAAGGGGGCUAGCGUUGCUCGGAAUUACUGGGCGUAAAGGGCGCGUAGGCGGAUAGUUUAGUCAGAGGUGAAAGCCCAGGGCUCAACCCUGGAAUUGCCUUUGAUACUGGCUAUCUUGAGUUCGGGAGAGGUGAGUGGAACUCCGAGUGUAGAGGUGAAAUUCGUAGAUAUUCGGAAGAACACCGGUGGCGAAGGCGACCACCUGGACAGAGAUUGACGCUGAGGCGCGAGAGCGAGGGGAGCAAACAGG